rnacentral:rRNA from 1 species
AUUGAACGCUGGCGGCAGGCUUAACACAUGCAAGUCGAGCGGAGAGAGGUAGCUUGCUACUGAUCUUAGCGGCGGACGGGUGAGUAAUGCUUAGGAAUCUGCCUAUUAGUGGGGGACAACAUUUCGAAAGGAAUGCUAAUACCGCAUACGUCCUACGGGAGAAAGCAGGGGAUCUUCGGACCUUGCGCUAAUAGAUGAGCCUAAGUCGGAUUAGCUAGUUGGUGGGGUAAAGGCCUACCAAGGCGACGAUCUGUAGCGGGUCUGAGAGGAUGAUCCGCCACACUGGGACUGAGACACGGCCCAGACUCCUACGGGAGGCAGCAGUGGGGAAUAUUGGACAAUGGGCGCAAGCCUGAUCCAGCCAUGCCGCGUGUGUGAAGAAGGCCUUAUGGUUGUAAAGCACUUUAAGCGAGGAGGAGGCUACUUUAGUUAAUACCUAGAGAUAGUGGACGUUACUCGCAGAAUAAGCACCGGCUAACUCUGUGCCAGCAGCCGCCGUAA